AUACGUAGGGAGCGAGCGUUGUCCGGAUUUACUGGGUGUAAAGGGUGCGUAGGCGGGACUGCAAGUCAGACGUGAAAUACCGAGGCUUAACCUCGGGGCUGCGUUUGAAACUGUAGUUCUUGAGUGAAGUAGAGGCAGGCGGAAUUCCUAGUGUAGCGGUGAAAUGCGUAGAUAUUAGGAGGAACACCAGUGGCGAAGGCGGCCUGCUGGGCUUUUAACUGACGCUGAUGCAACGAAAGCAGUGGGGAGC
rnacentral:rRNA from 1 species